rfam:Myotis lucifugus cont2.19455, whole genome shotgun sequence.
GCCGUUUUGGCUCAGUGGGUAGAGCGUCAGCCUGCAGACUGAAGGGUCCUAGGUUUGAUUCCAGUUAAGGGCA